AGAACGAACGCUGGCGGCAUGCCUAACACAUGCAAGUCGAACGAGACCUUCGGGUCUAGUGGCGCACGGGUGCGUAACGCGUGGGAAUCUGCCCUUGGGUUCGGGAUAACAGUUGGAAACGACUGCUAAUACCGGAUGAUGACUUCGGUCCAAAGAUUUAUCGCCCAGGGAUGAGCCCGCGUAGGAUUAGCUUGUUGGUGAGGUAAAAGCUCACCAAGGCGACGAUCCUUAGCUGGUCUGAGAGGAUGAUCAGCCACACUGGGACUGAGACACGGCCCAGACUCCUACGGGAGGCAGCAGUGGGGAAUAUUGGACAAUGGGCGAAAGCCUGAUCCAGCAAUGCCGCGUGAGUGAUGAAGGCCUUAGGUGUAAAGCUCUUUACCCGGGAUGAUAAUGACAGUACCGGAGAAUAAGCCCCGACUAACUCCGCGCAGCAGCCGC
rnacentral:rRNA from 1 species